CCCUGGCUCUCUGACACAUGCGCUACCCUUGAGCCCCAGAAACACACCCCGACCCUUCCUUUCUCUGCUGAGGAUCUCUAUUGCAGUAAUGCCUGUAAAACCAAAUCCAUUUUUACACCUCCUCCUGCAGGAGAGAUGCCAAGAGCCCUCUGCUAAUACAGCGUGGCCACUAGUGCAAAGCCCUCGACACUCCUACCAGCAGAGUAGCCCAUACCUUAAAAUUAGCACUUUCAGAGUGCAAAGCAGGGGGGUGAAGGUCCACCGAAGCAGCUUGAUGGACAGGUUUAGGACUCAAUGAAAGAAGAAAGGGAUGUAAAGGAGAACGUAAUGAAGCCCAGGAACACAGGUAUAAGUUCAAAGAUCAUUUUGGAGCGGUCAUCGCUAGGGAAAAAAAAAAUUGGAAGCAAAGAAAAAUACAAAUGCAGAAGAGCCAGCAGCGGUGCAAGAGUGGGUGCAAGCAGCUACGCAGGCGGAGGAGCGGCCCCUUGGCGACUGGAGCCAACAGCACCGGAGCAGUCACGCGGUAGCCGGUGGCUGCUCCACCAUCCCGAGACUGAGGCCACUGGAAGGAGGCAACGUAGAGGUCUUGCCUGAUCCUUGACAGAACCCCGUGGUUGCCUGAUUCGUCGUGCCGGAUCUGCCUCCACCAGGCACGCUUUGGAAGGACGGGUUUCUAAAUAAAAACAAAAAUCCCUUCCUUG